AUCGUUUACCACCCUACCUGUAGUGUCUCCAUCUCUCAAAUCCCUCGUCUCAAUCUACCAAGAAUCCGCCUCUCGUCUUCAUCAUCAUCGUCGUCUCCAUCCCCUGAAAUCCCUCAUUUUAAACCCCAAUCUCUCAAUUCCCUCGGCCAUCUUCUUCUUCCUCCUCCGCUCCCGCCGUCGCCUCCACAUCGUCUUCAUCUGCAUCUCCUCCGCUCUCGCUGCAGCCUCCACGUCAGCCUCCUUUGGCACCGUCGACGCGUAGCUCGCCUCCUUGAAUGACUCCCCACAUUUAACGCUCAAAUUCCCUAAAGAUCUAGGCGGAGGAAAGGAGGAGAAGAAAUCAGGUUUGGAUUGUCCCCAGAACUUGGGGAUUUGGAAGAAGGAGGAGGAGAAGAAGAUGGGGUUGUCGUUCGGGAAGCUGUUCAGCAAAUUGUUUGCAAAGAGGGAGAUGAGGAUCCUGAUGGUGGACCUCGAUGGUGCCGGCAAGACCACCAUCCUCUACAAGCUCAAGCUCGGCGAGAUCGUCACCACCAUCCCCACCAUCGAUAAUCUUGUCCCCUCCCCCUCCUGAUCUUGCUUGAAUUAAGUUUCAUAUUGAAUUCUCAGUAUUUUCCAACUUCAGAGAAGUCUGAAUAGAAUAAUCGAGUAUAUGGACCUAUUAAAGAUAUUGAACUGAAGAUUCCUCCAAGGCCUACAGGUUAUGCUAUUGUUGAGAAGCUCGUGAUGCUGAAGAUGUGAUCCGUAGCCAUGCCGGCUAUAAUUUUGAUGGUCAUAAGCUACGGGUGGAACUUGGCAUGUUGGAAGAGGGCAUCCCUCACCUUUUGAACGUCAUCGUAGUUACAAUGGUGGAGAUGGAGGUGGCCGUGGUGGUGUCUCAAGGCAUUCAAACUAUCGAGGUUCAGUUUUGAAUUGGUUUUAUUUAUGUAUAACUUUAGGCACUGCUCUUUUUAUGCAUCUCCAUUCUAAGACAUAUGUUAUGCGAUACGGUGAAGGUGACUAGUCUGCCCUCAUCUGCAUCAUGGCAAUACCUGAAGGACCACAUGCGUCGAGGUGGUGAUGUGUGUUUCUCUGAAGCUUUUCGUGAUGGCGGAGUAGGGCCGUACCUAGGAAUUUUGGGGCCCAAGGCGAAAUAUUAGAUGAGGCUCCGUGCGAGAUAUAUGGGUGGAUGCAAAUGGAUGACUGCCAGUUAAUUAUCAACACGAGACUCGCAAAUGGAUGACUGCCAGUUAAUUAUCAACACGAGACUCUCAACAGAAUUCUUAGCAUAUCAUGGACAUGCUCAGCAAUUCUUGCAAUUAUGCUACAUCUUGAAGAUGUUACCGCAACCGCACAGAAUUUUUUCCCCUCUAUUUACUAAUUACAGUGUCGUUUUGGUGUUGAAAAUGGUCUUCACCUUUUCUCAAUAAACACUGCUGAAGUAACUCUCCUUAUCAGCCCUUUCGAAGUAUUUUCAUAUAGUUUCCUGUUAAUAUUUUUCUGUGUUCUGUUCAAUAUGGUCCGGGUGGGGUAAUGUAUUACUAAAGAAGAUAACAAAAUAGCAUGCAAGUGUAUUAUGCA